rnacentral:rRNA from 1 species
UACGUAGGGGGCUAGCGUUGUCCGGAUUUAUUGGGCGUAAAGAGCGUGUAGGCGGCCAGGUAGGUCUGCUGUGAAAACUCGAGGCUCAACCUCGAGACGUCGGCGGAAACCAUCUGGCUAGAGUCCGGAAGAGGAGAGUGGAAUUCCUGGUGUAGCGGUGAAAUGCGCAGAUAUCAGGAAGAACACCCGUGGCGAAGGCGGCUCUCUGGGCCUUACCUGACGCUGAGGCGCGAAAGCUAGGGGAGCGAACAGG